CAUUUGCCCCGCCCUCACACGGAGCACUGCUGAGACAGUCGACUGGAUAACAACACAGAAAGAGAAAUUCUGUCAGUGAAAUAAGGGCAUUCUGAUGGAAACCUGUUUACCCGCCGAGGUUAAGGAUUAAAGUCGAGACUGCCGGGACAACGAUGCUGCUCCUGUCAGAUGUGAGGGGUCUGGAGUAAUUGCAACGACAAGAAAUCACUACAGACUUUAUUGAAGACUAGAGCGGAUAACAACUCUAUUAUUAUUUAAUUGUUUAUUUAUCUAUUUAUUACCAGUUAUGACUUUUAGAUCAUUUAAUUCUGUGUUUGUAUGAUUUGUGUAAAUCGUGUAUUUAUUUAAAGUAUCCUCCAGGCCACCCAAGAAGGAUGGGCCCUGCUGAGUCUGGUUCCUCUCAAGGUUUCUUCCUGUAAUUUUCAGGGAGUUUUUCCUUGCCACAGUCGCCCUCGGCUUGCUCAACAGGGGUUUUUGUAUCUGUUGGUCCUGGAUUUUGUAAAGUUGCUUUGAGACAAUGUCUAUUGUAAAAAGCGCUAUAUAAAUAAAGUUGACUUGACUUGACUUGACAA